GGUGCAUUAGCUAGUUGGUGAGGUAACGGCUCACCAAGGCCAACGAUGCAUAGCCGACCUGAGAGGGUGAUCGGCCACACUGGGACUGAGACACGGCCCAGACUCCUACGGGAGGCAGCAGUAGGGAAUCUUCCGCAAUGGACGAAAGUCUGACGGAGCAACGCCGCGUGAGUGAUGAAGGCUUUCGGGUCGUAAAACUCUGUUGUUAGGGAAGAACAAGUAUGAGAGUAACUGCUCGUACCUUGACGGUACCUAACCAGAAAGCCACGGCUAACUACGUGCCAGCAGCCGCGGUAAUACGUAGGUGGCAAGCGUUAUCCGGAAUUAUUGGGCGUAAAGCGCGCGCAGGCGGUUUCUUAAGUCUGAUGUG
rnacentral:rRNA from 1 species